rnacentral:rRNA from 1 species
UACAGAGGGUGCGAGCGUUAAUCGGAAUUACUGGGCGUAAAGCGUGCGUAGACGGUUAUUUAAGUCGGGUGUGAAAGCCCCGGGCUCAACCUGGGAAUUGCAUUCGAGACUGAAUAGCUAGGGUACGGUAGAGGGAAGUGGAAUUUCCGGUGUAGCGGUGAAAUGCGUAGAUAUCGGAAGGAACAUCAGUGGCGAAAGCGACUUCCUGGACCGGUACCGACGUCAGGCACGAAAGCGUGGGGAGCAAACAGG